rnacentral:rRNA from 1 species
UACGUAGGAGACGAGCGUUGUCCGGAGUUACUGGGCGUAAAGGGGUGCGCAGGUGGCGGCGCGCGUGGGGGGGUGAAAUCGCCCGGCUUAACUGGGCGGGGGCCUUCCAGACGGCGUGGCUUGAGCAGCGGAGGGGGACGUGGAAUUCCGGGUGGAGCGGUGAAAUGCGUAGAGAUCCGGAGGAACACCGACGGCGCAGGCAGCGUCCUGGCCGCUUGCUGACACUGAGGCACGAAAGCUGGGGGAGCAAACAGG